UGGGGAAUAUUGCACAAUGGGCGCAAGCCUGAUGCAGCCAUGCCGCGUGUGUGAAGAAGGCCUUCGGGUUGUAAAGCACUUUCAGCGGGGAGGAAGGCGAUAAGGUUAAUAACCUUGUCGAUUGACGUUACCCGCAGAAGAAGCACCGGCUAACUCCGUGCCAGCAGCCGCGGUAAUACGGAGGGUGCAAGCGUUAAUCGGAAUUACUGGGCGUAAAGCGCACGCAGGCGGUCUGUCAAGUCGGAUGUGAAAUCCCCGGGCUCAACCUGGGAAAUGCAUUCGAAAAUGGCAGGCUAGAGUCUUGUAGAGGGGGGUAGAAUUCCAGGUGUAGCGGUGAAAUGCGUAGAGAUCUGGAGGAAUACCGGUGGCGAAGGCGGCCCCCUGGACAAAGACUGACGCUCAGGUGCGAAAGCGUGGGGAGCAAACAGG
rnacentral:rRNA from 1 species